AAAAGAUCAACCCAAGUCUCCUUAACUGUGGAUAUAUAAGGAAGGCAUAGACAAGAAUGGGCACAAGCUAUGAACCUUGAUCAUCUGUCCUGAGAAAUUGUUAGAACAGCUCCUGGUAUAUAACUAGGCACAAUCAGGAGCAAGCACAGAGACAAAACACGGUAACAGAUUUGCGUUUUACAAAACUUCAAGGCAGCAGCAGCAAAAGAAUGAGAAUCCAAAAAUACUAAAUUGAAUGGAGAGUACUAAGGAAUGCCACAGACUGACAACAGCUGCAAGUGAUAUAUCCACAUGACAUAUUGUGAAGCUGUCCAAAUAAUCAUCAUCACUGUCGUCAUCUUAAAAUCCCCAUUGUAUACAG